rnacentral:rRNA from 1 species
GUGCCAGACUCCUACGGGAGGCAGCAGUGAGGAAUAUUGGUCAAUGGUCGGGAGACUGAACCAGCCAAGCCGCGUGAGGGAGGAAGGUACAGAGUAUCGUAAACCUCUUUUGCCGGGGAGCAAGGGCCGGGACGAGUCCCGGUCCGGAGAGUACCCGGAGAAAAAGCAUCGGCUAACUCCGUGCCAGCAGCCGCGGUAAUACGGAGGAUGCGAGCGUUAUCCGGAUUUAUUGGGUUUAAAGGGUGCGUAGGCGGGCUUUUAAGUCAGCGGUAAAAAUUCGGGGCUCAACCCCGUCCGGCCGUUGAAACUGGGGGCCUUGAGUGGGCGAGAAGAAGGCGGAAUGCGUGGUGUAGCGGUGAAAUGCAUAGAUAUCACGCAGAACCCCGAUUGCGAAGGCAGCCUUCCGGCGCCCUACUGACGCUGAGGCACGAAAGUGCGGGGAUCGAACAGGAUUAGAUACCCGUGUAGC